GGUUGUGCCCACCCGGCCGCCUGAUACUUUCGUCUCAACCUCGCUGUCAGAAUGUCGUAGGUGAGCAAAGUUUCAGGUGUGCCGGAACACACCCA
rnacentral:pre_miRNA from 1 species